ensembl:snoRNA small nucleolar RNA SNORA49
CAUUUUCCUUACACUAGGGGCUUUUUUGCCUAUAUAGUCUCCUGGUCACCCGAGGAUAAAUUAAAAAUUAUGCUCAUAUGUCUCCCCAGUAGGACUCUGAGUUUCCUUUGGGGCCUACUUCAGUAACAUA